UAUAGGGCAGGUGUCACAGUUUUGUCCCGUCUGUGGCACAGGGGCGCUUGUGCUAUGGCGUAAUGGGAGAACUAGUCCGCAGGCGGCAAUAAUAUAAAUACAAGCCACUCAUUCCAAGAAGGGGGACAGGAGAGGGGUAGGAAUGGGGUUACUGAGCGGUCUCAGGUGGCUAAAUAAGCCGAGGCUCAGAUGCUACCAGUGUGGGACUGAGAUGCCAGAGGCCAACAGGAAACCUUUUAUUAUUAUUCCCACUUGCCCAUUGUAAUUCCUCCUUUGCUCAUUUAGUCUCUUUAGUAUCUCUUUCUUCUCAUACAGGAAUAGGGAAUGCCCAAGAAAUAGGCCCCCGGGAGUUUUCCUGUGUCCCCCAUGGGCCAACUCUGGUAAAUAGAAGCAGGAGGGCCCACUGACACCCGGGCCCACUUGGCGUUUCCCUGGUAUCCUGGUGGGCCAGUCCCAGGGCCGCCAUCGGGGGGACAUCCCGGGCCGGGCGAUUUUACCAUUAAAGGGUUAAUCAAUUCCGGGCUCCUGUCAUUGGUCAGCAAUAAUCCUGUUGGGCGCGCCCAGUGCAUACAUUUCACGUCAGUACACAAGGGGUGCAACCGUAUAAAAGUGAGAAUGCAGCGGGGGAGCCUGGGGACACAGCCGUACGAAGCAGGAGGAAGCUGUAGGACACGGGGAGUUGGAGGAUGCUGAGAAGGACACUGGGCCGACAUCUGGUCUCUGGGAAUUGCGGCCAUCUAUAUGGCUGAAGGGCAUCUCCGAGUGAAAACUUCCAUUUCUUUAUUAAUGAAUGUCUGCAGACGAAUCCAGCGAGAAGACCAUCUGCAAGGCAGCUACUGACAGACCCAUUCAUUGCAGAGCUCAGGGAUGAAAGGGGUGUAAAGAGGAGCCUCACGCAAUAUAUGCAGAGGGGUAGGGGAACCCCUCAUUCUCAUUAUAGUUCCCUUGAUGUAUAGACUAUAACCACCUACCGCUCUUCUUCAUAUAAUCAUUCUAUAAGUGAAGCCGCCAGUAAUAAAGACUUGUAUUAGGGCAGAGGUCACUGAACUAGGCCAAAUCUAGGGGAGACACGGGUGAAGGUGGUUUAAGAAACAGCUUUAUUCACAAUUGUCCUAUCUACUCACAUAC